UCUGACAUAAUUCCAUUGCUAACAGUGAACUUGUGGAGAUACUGAUGAACUAGUGGAUGCAGGGGUUAGCUGAAUCCCGGUGUAGGAGUAAAUCCAUUGAUAUCGGGAGGAACACCAAUGUCGAAGCAGCUACUAGGUCAUUUCAGACGCUAAGGCGGCGAAAGCGUGGGGAGGCGAACGGGAUUAGAUACCCCGGUAGUCCACGCGUAAACGAUGCUGACUAGCUAUAGGGAGUAUCGACCAUUCUGUAGUGAAGCUAACGCGUUAAGUCAGCCGCCUGGGGAGUACGGUCGCAAGACUAAAACUCAAAGGAAUAGACGGGGGCUCGCACAAGCGGUGGAACAUGAGGUUUAAUUCGACGAUAAGCGAAAAACCUUACCAGGGUUCACCCUAUUAGAACCCCGCGGAAACGUGGGGGUGCCUUCGGGAGCUAAUAGGUCGGUGAUGCACGGUUGUCGUCAGCUCGUGCCGUGAGGUGUCCCGUUAAGUCGGUCAACGAGCGCAACCCUUGCUCUGUGUUACUCCGGCAUCACGUCGGAGGUCUCACUGAGGACUGCCUCGCCUAUUGAGCGGGGAGGAAGGUGGGGAUGACGUCAAAUCAGCGUGUCCCUUAUGCCCUGGGCAACACUCGUGUUACAAUGGUCAGCAACAACGGGUUGCAAGUCCGCGAGGACAAGCUAAUCCCUGAAAUCUGGCCUCAGUUCGGAUUGCAGGCUGAAACUCGC
rnacentral:rRNA from 1 species